rnacentral:lncRNA from 1 species
UCUGAGAUCUUAGCAGCUUGGUCAUAGUCUCUUUGCAAAGACCGUAUUUCCUACAAUUGAAGCACUGGAUAUUUUGAUAUCAGACCUCUAGCUAUAGCUGGACCUAUGAUAUUAGUAUGGUUCAUGUUAGAACCAGUAUCGGCCAUAUCCCUUAUAUACGUGUCCAUAGGUACUGCUCUUGACUUUGAUGGUUUUUACACUGAUAUACAAAUUUUUAUAUGCCAAGAUCUCUAUCAACAUCUGCCUUGCAUCAGGUCUGAUAUAGCUUUGUUCACAACUCAGCCAGUCUUUCAAACUUUUUUGAAACAAACAAACAACAAAUACAGAAAAUCCCUUGUGGGUGCAAAGCAGAAAAUAUCCCAAUAGUAGAAGCCUCAGUACAUUUUUUGCUGGCAUCUUCUCCUACCUUUUUCUCUACCGCACUUGAAAUCAAAUUUCCCACUCUGCCUAGCCCCAUGUCUGGGCAGCACUUGUAGCUCUUUUAUGCUACAUUGUAGGUUCUUUGUUCUUCCGCCCUUUUUCACCCCUUUUCUUCCACCUUUUCAGCCUCCUAACUCUAGAUAAGAAAGAAAAAAAAACGAUAGAGAGGAAAGGAAAGAGAUCCCUGAAUAAAGUAUGAGGUGGAAAAGGGGUGACAUUAUUGUUAGACUAGUUCCUGCUGAUUGGGGACAAGCUCCUUAGGGAAAGUUUGAUCUUCAAUGUCAGGAUAGCUAAUUUCUUCAUCUCCUUGUUUCUUCUUCGCACAUGACUACUUAACAAACUGUAACCAACAGCAACCCACACCAACCAACCACCAACCAUGCUUCUCAGGGCAUUAACAUUUAUAUACCCUCUGAAAACUCCCCAGAAUUCCAAUUUCAGAAAGUAUCUAUAGCUGGUAAAAUCAUGCAUGCGCCUGCUGGAGCAGGAAGCAAACAUAGUCAGGCGCUGUGAAUACCUGAAGCAGGCCUACAUCCCAUACCUGGGAUUAAGAAUGAAAACAUAUUAGUAUAAUAUUUAUGUGAUUUUUUUUUAAAGAAAACAAAAUCCCAAAAUUGUCACUACAACCUAUAAACAGGAAGACCAGAGGGAAAGGCUUAAGAACACCAGUACUUGAGGCCUCCAGAUGGGGAAGUGGCAGCAUUGUUGUGCCUGUUAAACUAUAGCAACUGCACACUGAAAACUCUCCUGCCAAACUGCUAGUAAGAGAAGUAAUCCAGACUGGAGAGAUGGCUCAGAGGUUAAGAGCACCGACUGCUCUUUCAGAGGUCCUGAGUUCAAUUCCCAGCAACCACAUGGUGGCUCACAAGCAUCUGUAAUGAGACCUGAUGCCCUCUUCUAUGGUGUGUCUGAAGAUAGCUAGUCAUACAAAUAAAAUAAAUAAAUUUAAAAAAUAAAGAAGUAGUAAUCCAGGGCCAGCAAGAUAGAUGAGAUAAAAGAGCUUGCUAUGUAAGCAUAAGGGCCUGAGUUCUAUUCCUGGAAUCCAGGAAUAAAACUAAAAGGAGAGAACUGACUCUACCAAGCUGUCCUCUCACCCCCCACCCCCACUGUGGUAUGUAUUCAGGCACUCCUAUAUGCACAUUACACACACACACACACACACACACACGCUAUAGCUUAAAAAGAUAAAAAGGGCUUGGAGAGAUGGUUCAACAUCUAAGAGUACUGGCUGCUCUUCCAGGGAACCCAGGUUUGAUUCCCAGCACACACAUGGUGGCUCACAACUGUAACUCCAGUUCCAGGAGAUCCAAUGCCCCCUUCUGGCUUCUGUAGGCACCAGGCAUGGACAUGGCACAUGCAAUGUGGGCAAACACCUAAACAGAUGCAAUAAAAUAAAAACAAAUUAAAAUUUUAAAAAUCUUUUCAAAAAAUUAAAGUGAACAAAAAGUAAAAGAGGAAUUCAAUAUUAUACCUUACCUUUUUUUCUGGACUUAAGACCUCACCAUGUAUUCCAGCCUGGCCUUAGACUCUAGCUAUUACCUCCUUACUACUACAGAUGGGUAGCACCAUACCUAGAAACUUACGUUU